rnacentral:rRNA from 1 species
ACAUUCGAUUAGGUAGUUGGAAGGGUAGAAGCCUCCCAAGCCUACGAUCGAUAGUCAAGUUUGAUAGAACAGAUGACCACAUUGGGAAUGAAAUCUCCCAAGUAGCAUUAAGCUACCAGCAGUCAAGAAUAUUAGUCAAUGCUCGCAAGAGUGAACUAGCUAACUGAAAUCAACGGUGUGUCAUCGUUGAUAAAGUAAGGGAAAAGAAAUGAUGUUACCUUACUACUAGUGUCGUCCAAGUACUCGUGCCAGAAGACUCGGUAAGGCGAGAGACGCAAACGUUAGUCGUCUUAAUCAGGCGUAAAGGGUUUGUAGGCGGCUUUAAGAAUUUUAAAUAUUUAUAUAUUUAAAAUCAAUUAAAGCUAGAAUCAAAAAGAGGUCACAUUAAAUAAUACUUGGUGUAAGGUUGGUAUCUUAAAACCCCAAGUAGAAUACUAACGGCGAAGGCUUUUUUCCAAUAAUGAUUGACGCUGAGAAACUAAGGUGAGGAUAGAAAAAAGGAUUAGAGACCCUCGUAUCCCUCACUGUCAACGAUGAAUGGUAGUUACUAGAUAAAUAAUAAUUAUUUUAAAUUAAUUAAAAUUUUAUUACAAAUCUAGAGACGAUGUUAACACGAAAACCAUUCCGCCUUGUGAGUACAACUGCAAAGUUGAAAACAAAAAAAUUAGUCGGUUUCGGAGCAAACGAAGUGAAGCAUGUUGUUUAAUACGAUACCCCGCGUAAAAUCUUACCAGUCCUUGCAUAAAACUUUUAUUUAAUUAUAAAAGGAUUAUUUUAAUUCUUUAAAAAUAAAGAAUCAAAAAUUUUCAUACAGGUGUUGCAU